GAUGAACGCUGGCGGCGUGCCUAAUACAUGCAAGUCGAGCGAACAGACGAGGAGCUUGCUCCUCUGACGUUAGCGGCGGACGGGUGAGUAACACGUGGAUAACCUACCUAUAAGACUGGGAUAACUUCGGGAAACCGGAGCUAAUACCGGAUAAUAUAUUGCACCGCAUGGUUCAAUAGUGAAAGACGGUUUUGCUGUCACUUAUAGAUGGAUCCGCGCCGCAUUAGCUAGUUGGUAAGGUAACGGCUUACCAAGGCGACGAUGCGUAGCCGACCUGAGAGGGGGAUCGGCCACACUGGAACUGAGACACGGUCCAGACUCCUACGGGAGGCAGCAGUAGGGAAUCUUCCGCAAUGGGCGAAAGCCUGACGUAGCAACGCCGCGUGAGUGAUGAAGGUCUUCUGAUCGUAAAACUCUGUUAUUAGGGAAGAACAAAUGUGUAAGUAACUAUGCACGUCUUGACGGUACCUAAUCAGAAAGCCACGGCUAACUACGUG
rnacentral:rRNA from 1 species